GUAGCCAUAUGAUGUUGAAACACUGAUUCUCGUAUGAUCACUGAAGUUAAGCAACACUGAGUCUGGUCAGUGCCUAGAUGGGUAAGCCUUUGGAAAUGCCAGGUGUUGUAAG